rnacentral:rRNA from 1 species
GACACACGGCGGGUGCUAACGUCCGUCGUGAAGAGGGAAACAACCCAGACCGCCAGCUAAGGUCCCAAAGUCAUGGUUAAGUGGGAAACGAUGUGGGAAGGCCCAGACAGCCAGGAUGUUGGCUUAGAAGCAGCCAUCAUUUAAAGAAAGCGUAAUAGCUCACUGGUCGAGUCGGCCUGCGCGGAAGAUGUAACGGGGCUAAACCAUGCACCGAAGCUGCGGCAGCGACACUCAGGUGUUGUUGGGUAGGGGAGCGUUCUGUAAGCCUGCGAAGGUGGCCUGUGAGGGUUGCUGGAGGUAUCAGAAGUGCGAAUGCUGACAUAAGUAACGAUAAAGCGGGUGAAAAGCCCGCUCGCCGGAAGACCAAGGGUUCCUGUCCAACGUUAAUCGGGGCAGGGUGAGUCGACCCCUAAGGCGAGGCCGAAAGGCGUAGUCGAUGGGAAACGGGUUAAUAUUCCCGUACUUGGUGUUACUGCGAAGGGGGGACGGAGAAGGCUAUGUUGGCCGGGCGACGGUUGUCCCGGUUUAAGCGUGUAGGUGUGUGUUCCAGGUAAAUCCGGUUCACUUUAACACUGAGGCGUGACGACGAGGCACUACGGUGCUGAAGCAACAAAUGCCCUGCUUCCAGGAAAAGCCUCUAAGCAUCAGGUAACAUCAAAUCGUACCCCAAACCGACACAGGUGGUCAGGUAGAGAAUACCAAGGCGCUUGAGAGAACUCGGGUGAAGGAACUAGGCAAAAUGGUGCCGUAACUUCGGGAGAAGGCACGCUGACACGUAGGUGAAGUGAUUUACUCACGGAGCUGAAGUCAGUCGAAGAUACCAGCUGGCUGCAACUGUUUAUUAAAAACACAGCACUGUGCAAACACGAAAGUGGACGUAUACGGUGUGACGCCUGCCCGGUGCCGGAAGGUUAAUUGAUGGGGUCAGCGCAAGCGAAGCUCCUGAUCGAAGCCCCGGUAAACGGCGGCCGUAACUAUAACGGUCCUAAGGUAGCGAAAUUCCUUGUCGGGUAAGUUCCGACCUGCACGAAUGGCGUAAUGAUGGCCAGGCUGUCUCCACCCGAGACUCAGUGAAAUUGAACUCGCUGUGAAGAUGCAGUGUACCCGCGGCAAGACGGAAAGACCCCGUGAACCUUUACUAUAGCUUGACACUGAACAUUGAGCCUUGAUGUGUAGGAUAGGUGGGAGGCUUUGAAGUGUGGACGCCAGUCUGCAUGGAGCCGACCUUGAAAUACCACCCUUUAAUGUUUGAUGUUCUAACGUGGACCCGUGA